rnacentral:tRNA from 1 species
GCGGAUGUAGCUCAGUGGGUAGAGCGCGGCCAUGCCAGGGCCGAGGCCACGGGUUCGAGACCCGUCAUCCGCU